rnacentral:rRNA from 1 species
CUUGGUCAUUUAGAGGAAGUAAAAGUCGUAACAAGGUUUCCGUAGGUGAACCUGCGGAAGGGUCAUUAAAGAAUUGCCCCAUUUUUUGAAAUGGGUUCUAUUCCCAAACCGUGUAUACAUACCUUUGUUGCUUUGGCAAGCCGUCCUUCGGGCGCAGCUUCGGCUGAGAGCGCUUGCCAGAGGACCCCAACUCUUUUGUUUAGUGAUGUCUGAGUACUAUCUAAUAGUUAAAACUUUCAACAACGGAUCUCUUGGUUCUGGCAUCGAUGAAGAACGCAGCGAAAUGCGAUAAGUAAUGUGAAUUGCAGAAUUCAGUGAAUCAUCGAAUCUUUGAACGCACAUUGCGCCCUGUGGUAUUCCGCAGGGCAUGCCUGUUCGAGCGUCAUUUAACCACUCACGCCUAGCGUGGUAUUGGGGCACGCGGUCUCCGCGGCCCUCAAAAUCAGUGGCGGCGCCGGUGGGCUCUAAGCGUAGUACAUACUCCCGCUAUAGAGUUCCCCCCGGUGGCUCGCCAGAACCCCCAAUUUUUUACAGGUUGACCUCGGAUCAGGUAGGGAUACCCGCUGAACUUAAGCAUAUCAAUAAGCGGAGGA